rnacentral:lncRNA from 1 species
UGCAUUCAAGAUAUCGUCUACAUCGGUCUCACUCCCAUGAUACUCUGUCUGGCCAUUGUCAUCUUUCGUAUUUCCAGUGAAAUAACGAAUUAACAAGACUGCAAGAACUAGAAAGGCAACCACAAGACCUACCUUUCCGAUGGAAGAGGUCAGUUUGUCAAGUCGAGCUUGUAGCGGCGUUCUCUCGUUUUUAUCACUGGUUAUUGAACUCAUCAUUUCACCCCAUGCAGUAUCCAUUCCGACUGAUGCUACAAGCAUUCGAGCGUAUCCAUCGACUACCUUAGAACCAGAAGAAAGGAAAGGGUUCCUGCAAGCAUCAACCUCCACAUGGUCGCUCUCGCCCGUCAUGCUUGAUUCAUCCACUUGCAGUGAAUGUCCA